rnacentral:piRNA from 1 species
ACCAACCAAAGAGCAUGCCCUGAGUUGGAC